rnacentral:rRNA from 1 species
UACGUAGGUGGCGAGCGUUAUUCGGAUUCACUGGGCGUAAAGGGUCCGCAGGGGGCCUGCCAAGUCUGUCGUGAAAUCCCGGGGCUCAACCCCGGGUCUGCGGUGGAAACAGGCGGGCUAGAGUGUGUGAGGGGUAGACGGAACACCUGGUGUAGCGGUGGAAUGCGUGGAUAUCAGGUGGAACACCGAUGGCGAAGGCGGUCUACUGGCACACAACUGACCCUCAGGGACGAAAGCGUGGGUAGCAAACAGG